rnacentral:rRNA from 1 species
AUUGAACGCUGGCGGCAGGCCUAACACAUGCAAGUCGAACGCGUGGCGGACGUGUGAGUAAUGUCUGGGACACUCCCUUAUGGAGGGGGAACACUUCUGAAAACUGUCGAUAAUCCCGUAUACCCUCGGAUGUUCCCAGAUGGGUUUAGCUAGUAGGAGGGGUAAAGGCUCACCUAGGCGACGAUCCCUAGCUGGUCUGAGAGGAUGACCAGCCACACGGGAACUGAGACACGGCCCAGACUCCUACGGGAGGCAGCAGUGGGGAAUAUUGCACAAUGGGCGCAAGCCUGAUGCAGCCAUGCCGCGUGUAUGAAGAAGGCCUUAGGGUUGUAAAGUACUUUCAGCGGGGAGGCGUUACCCGCAGAAGAAGCACCGGCUAACUCCGUGCCAGCAGCCGCGGUAAUUC